rnacentral:rRNA from 1 species
GAUGAACGCUGGCGGCGUGCCUAAUACAUGCAAGUCGAGCGAACAGACGAGGAGCUUGCUCCUCUGACGUUAGCGGCGGACGGGUGAGUAACACGUGGAUAACCUACCUAUAAGACUGGGAUAACUUCGGGAAACCGGAGCUAAUACCGCAUAAUAUAUUGAACCGCAUGGUUCAAUAGUGAAAGACGGUUUUUGUGUCACUUAUAGAUGGAUCCGCGCCGCAUUAGCUAGUUGGUAAGGUAACGGCUUACCAAGGCGACGAUGCGUAGCCGACCUGAGAGGGGGAUCGGCCACCAUGGUACUGAGACGAGGUCCAGAAGCCUACGGGAGGCAGCAGUAGGGAAGCUUCCGGAAUGGGCGAAAGCCUGACGGAGCAACGCCGCGUGAGUGAUGAAGGUCUUCGGAUCGUAGAACUCUGCUAUUAGGGAAGAACAAAUGUGUAAGUAACUAUGCACGUCUUGACGGUACCUAAUCAGAAAGCCACGGCUAACUACGUG